CUGUAACUUUUGUAUAAAGUUUGUUGGUAACCGUCUAUGUCUUAAAAGAUCAAUGGAUUGAGCCCCGAUAGCUUUUAACAUGUUUUACUUAACGUUUCAAUGUUGAAUCCAGUGAUUUUACAGAGGAUUGGAUGUAUCUAUCAAAAGAGAGGAGUGUUAUUACAGCCAUCAUAUAUUUAAGUUGAUCAACAAACCGAAGAUGGAAUGUAGAAAAUUUAAUGCCGAACACAAAAGCAGGAUUUUUUCAAGCCUAGAACUGGUCCGGUAUCGGCGCCCAUCUCUUCGGCCGAAGCAGAAGAGAAUGAUCAGAAAAAUGUAACUGGCCAACCUUCUUCGAACUGUAGAAACUUUCGGGUAUCGUCUUCUGAAGAAUGUUCCCUACGAUGGGAACUGCUUUUUUUCAUGUUGUUGGUGCCACAAAUGGUGAGGAUGGCAAGCACUUGAGAGAGAGAUUCGUUCAGCAUAUUGUAAGAGAGGUAUAAAACAUUGCUUUCGUGGGGAAGUUAUACGUCAACAUUCAAAGAAACAGACAAGUCAAAAAAUUUCCUGUGGCUAGAAGUUAUACAGAUCAGAAAUUGUUACGGAUGUAUGUGUGACCACUCAGACCACUCAGCCUAAAAGUAACUUAUGGGUGCUGCAGACCAAUUAUGCCGACGUCAUGGAUUCUAGGGUGUGCAAAGCAACUGCUGAACUCAUUUUACAACCCGUACACAUCAUCACGCACUCCAAAGAUGCGAAAAAAACUGCCGCGGUUUGAGGUUGUAGAGUCCGAGUUAGUCUGUUCGACGAAUCAAGUUCAGCCGAUAACAAUAGGUCACAUCCAGGACAGUCACUUUGUUCCACUUGUAAAAACUGUCUGGUGGAUGGGAUGGACAUUCUCGAUCUGAAGCUGCAGAUUUCCUUCACUCGAUAACCUAGCUUCGACUUUAUUGUGAUCUUCAUGGUUCUGUAUCAAGGUCUUUCUGCUUUGUCGGGAAUCAAUGUACAACUACAAGAAAAGGCAAUG